rnacentral:rRNA from 1 species
GAAACCAACAGGGAUUGCCCUAGUAACGGCGAGUGAAGCGGCAACAGCUCAAAUUUGAAAUCUGGCCCUUGGGUCCGAAUUGUAAUUUGUAGAGGAUGUUUUUGGUGCGGUAUCUUCCGAGUUCCUUGGAACAGGACGCCUUAGAGGGUGAGAGCCCCGUACGGUUGAAUGCCUAGCCUUUGUAAAACUCCUUCGACGAGUCGAGUAGUUUGGGAAUGCUGCUCUAAAUGGGAGGUAAAUUUCUUCUAAAGCUAAAUACCGGCCAGAGACCGAUAGCGCACAAGUAGAGUGAUCGAAAGAUGAAAAGCACUUUGAAAAGAGGGUUAAAUAGCACGUGAAAUUGUUGAAAGGGAAGGAUUUAUGACCAGACUUUUUCUAGGCGAAUCAUCCGGUGUUCUCACCGGUGCACUUCGUUUAGUUUAGGCCAGCAUCGAUUUUCGAGGCGGGAUAAAAGCUUCAGGAAUGUGGCUCCCUCGGGAGUGUUAUAGCCUGUUGUAUAAUACCGCCUUGGGGAUCGAGGUACGCGCUUCUGCAAGGAUGCUGGCGUAAUGGUUAUCAAUCACCCGUCUUGAAACACGGACCAAGGAGUCGAACAUUUGUGCGAGUGUUUGGGUGUUAAACCCUCACGCGUAAUGAAAGUGAACGGAGGUGAGAGCCCUUUACGGGGUGCAUCAUCGACCGAUCCUGAUGUCUUCGGAUGGAUUUGAGUAAGAGCAUAAAUGUUCGGACCCGAAAGAUGGUGAACUAUGCGUGGAUAGGGUGAAGCCAGAGGAAACUCUGGUGGAGGCUCGCAGCGGUUCUGACGUGCAAAUCGAUCGUCAAAUCUGCGCAUGGGGGCGAAAGACUAAUCGAACC